UUUGAGGGUGCUAUUUUUCCUUUUGUUUCUUUCUUUCUUCUUCUUUCUUUUGAUUUCUUUUGAUUUCUUUUGAUUUUGCACCCUCCUCUUUCUUUUUCUUUUUUUUUUUAUUUUUUUUUAUUACAUUUGUAAUGCCCCAGUUUGGCUGUUCUGCUGAUUCUCGAGAUGCAGCUGGGUGAUCUUCUUUUCUUGCUCAAGAAGUCGGGAAAUCUCAUCAGGAAUCCCUUC
rnacentral:lncRNA from 1 species